UAGAGAGAGAUUGUUAAUGAAAAAAUAAUUCAGAGAUUGAUAGUUUUUUUAAAAAAAAAUAAAAAUGGAAAUUGGAGAUUGAAAAAUAAAAAUAAAAAUGGAAAAUUAAAAUUGAUGGAAUAAAAUAAAAUAAAAUAAAAUACAGUCCAAAUCAAUCAAGAAUCACACAAAUAGAAUAGCUUAAACCGUGAGUCCCCAGCAACGACGC
rnacentral:lncRNA from 1 species